UAUCUCCUAAUAUAUUUUCACAUUAAAGGAUAUUCUUCACUCUUUCACAACCAUAAAAUUUGUUAUUGAAAUAUGGGUUCUUUCUUUUUGAAGAUUUGAUAUCCCCACUCUUGGCUAGCGUUUGAUAAUAGAGUAUAAUAACCCUAAAGUUUGUUGGCCUUUGAUCUUUUCUUUAUCACGAAACCCUUUAAUGAACAUGCAAAACUACAGCUUUGCCCUUCAGGUUGCGUUGUUCCCACUGAACGUGAGCAUGGGGAGUAUGGGGUUUGGUCCAGCCUCACUCCACUGGUUUUCUCUUUCUCAAAAGCAGAGAGCUUCAGUCUGUCUUGAUCUACUUCUCUCAGUUUUAGUGCUCUAUUCUCUUGAUUCUUUUCAUAAAAUGGUUUUACCUUCAAGAAAACUAGGGUUUAGGAGAGAAGAAGAAAAGGGGGGAACUAUCUGCCUGAUCAUUGGAGGAAACACUGACCACCGGAGUGUGCCAGUGGUCUUUGCUGGUGUUUGCUUACGCAAAACACAUGCAUUGUUCAGGAGCAAAGGACAUAGCCUAGUUCACUGCUACAGAAAAUGGGUCCGAGGGCAAAUUGUAACUUUCUUAUAGGGCAUGCACAUGGGAUGGGAAAUAAUUUUAUUUCACAGAAGACCCCCUCUGGGGGGAAAGGUCAUUGGCGGAUGAACUUUGGGGAUGCUAUCAAAGGGUAGCCAAGUUUGGGGGAAAUCAUCAACCCCCCAUUGUAAAAUAUUAAGUAUGUAUUCAGCCUUGUGUAGACCUUAUCUUUUUCUGUGGAAUAAUCGUUGAACCAAGUGGUUCUUGGAGCACAAGAGGCAAAAUUUCACCAAACUGAAGGUUGUGUGUGUUUUUGGACAAAAGGCCCGACGAAAUCCUGUAAAGGUUGUUUGUGUGGUAUAAACUAAAUCAGUGUUUGUUUGAUUAUGCAGCUUGCAAAACAUGCGAUAAACAAACUUGCUCCCAUGAGCGUAUGCUUGUUUUGUUUUUUGGUGGCUGAGUCAAGAUACUUGUGCUUGUAAGACUAUUUGUUUGAAUUUAUUUUCUGACAGUCAUGUAGCUGAGUAUGAGAGUGAAGUUGGUAACUAAAGUAGCGUCAUUACAUUUAGGUGUUAUCAAACAAUACACUUAACACCAACAGAUCUAGAGUACUGCCAUUAAUCUGAACAUUACAAUGGUGAUUUUUUUUAGGAAGAUACAAUUAGGAUUGUGUCCAGAAGGAAAUUGAUUCUGCAAACUCA